rnacentral:lncRNA from 1 species
CCCAUUUUAUUUAUUUAUUUAUUUAGAUCAACGUAGCACUGCGAAAUCCGUGCAAAUUCUGUGAAUGCUGCCCAUCAGCUGGAAACACGAGAGUGCAGAUGCAGCUGAUUGCCAAAGAUCGUGCUGUGCUGUUCAGUGUCACUGCGUUAGUGUCACUGCUUCAGUGUCACUGCACGCCCAGGGACCUGUUUUGAAAACUCUGUACAGAGAGCACUGCAGCUGUAGCAGUGUCAAACAGAGGAUGUGUUCUUGUGAAUCAAACGCUCACUGUAUUUCCUUUGUGUUUUCUAGAGAUGUACAGAUAACCUUCUAUGUAUUGGGAAGAAAAGGUUUUUUCAAAGAACUACACAUUCAAAUUGUGUGCCUCAAAGCAAUAGGAGGGGUUCUAAUUUGGAUGAGAAAUUUUUUUUUUUUUUUUGUUUAUUCUUCUAUCACUGUAAUUUUUUUUUUUUUUUAAUUUUAAUUGUUACCUUUGGAAAAAGGAGAGGAACAACUGGAGCAGAGGAGCUGGAAAUGGAACUGGAAAGAAAACUGCAGUAAUUUUUUCUGAGAAACCCUUUGGAAAGAAUACCUGUUUCCUCCUGCUGUGCCAGCAUAGAUGCUGGCAGUGCUGCUCCUUCCCUGAGCAUGGCUGCGUUGCAGUGCUUUGUGGAGUGGGCUGGUUAUGUGACUGCUUGCUUGCUUCAUAACCCUUGCUUUGAGUAGGUCCCGUAAGGUUUGCAGCAACGUGAAUUCACACAGAGCGGUAGUCUGCUCUGGUGAUGUCAACUCUUACAAGUAUCCUAUUCAAAACGGAGGAAGAGGAAUCGUAUUUAAAAUUCUGAUCAAUGUCUUUUCAUUGGCCAUGACAGUGCUACACAGGAUGAGACCUUGUACAGAAGCACAGGUUAGCAAAACAGUGCAGCUUCCUUAGGCAGUGCUUUACCUGGGCCAAUUACACUUUACAGAAAAAAAAUUAAACAGUGUGGAACGUUUUAUGUCCUGCAGUACUCAGACUAAUACAGGUAUCUGCUUUGCAAUGUGGCAUGGAGGUAGACGUGCUUUUUUCUUACUUCUGGCUACCAGAAUGCAUCCAUCCUGUAUUGAUUUUAUUCUUAGAAUAUAACUUCAGGGGCAAGGAUUAUUUUUUUCUCUUUCUUUUUUAGUCUGUGUUGUUCCAGAUUUUAAUAAUUUAAUAUUUUUAGUAUUAAGCUGCUGCCUGUAUCUCAAAUAUAUACAAAGAUAAAGGGCAGCAGCGUAAUGCAAAUAAUACUAACUUAUUUUGUCGUCCAUUCUUCCUGUCUUUUGAUAAAUGUUGCAACAGCUGGCUUGAUUGGAUAUUUCUGAGCUUUUUCCUGGUAGUUCUAAUUAACAGUAUGCUGGCUUAUCAUUGUAAGGAGAAGAAUAAAUAAUUGAGGUCAGGCUAGGAGUCUUCAUUUAUCUUGGGGGAAAAAAAAGAAAAUUGUUCCUCAAAAUGGCUUGAGAAUUAGGCCUAAAUUCUCGAAUUGGGUCUAAAUGAAAUCCAAAUACAUGAAAAAGAAAGAAAGAAAAUUAAUGGAAGAAUGAUAUGGAUGGCCUGUCUUGCCAAAUAAUACUUUGUGAGUGGGUUAAUAAUGCAGAGCUGAUUUGGAAAGAUUUUUCCUGUUAUUGCUGUGGAUGUUAGGCCCUGAACCUUACUUCCUGUAAAAUGUUUACACUUUCAUGUUCUCUGUAUUCUAAAAAUGGAGCAGCAUCCACAGUUUCUUGUUCUCAUGUAAAUUCUGCCUUUCCCCACAUUGAAACCCAGAAAUCAGCUGUUUCAUUUGCGGGGCUGACGUCCAUGAUUUUUCAGUUUCACCAGUAAUUGCCUUUUCCCAGGUUGCAGUGGUGAUUCCUUGACAUAAUGAUGUUCUUCCUCAUUCACACCAAAACAUCUGGUAAAGUCUCCGCAGAUUCCAGCGGGAUUAUGUGAAGAGAUAAAAUGAUAUUAGUAGCUGUGACUUUUCAGUGCUUUACUGUAGGUUUUCUUGGAGUAGAACGUUCAUGUACAAUAGUACUUCAGGAUGUGUUGAGUUCUCCUAUCUGAUGUGUACCCCUCAGCCUUCUUAGGUAGCUGGGCUUCGUAGCACCAGUAUGCUGUGCCCAUUCUGGUUUCCACAGAGUGGCGGGAAUGGAAAAACAGAAUUCUCCUUGAGACUUUUUAACUUUCUGUAAGAAUAGAGUAUUACUACAUCUUCACAGUCAGGAUUCAUUUGCUCGCCUACCUGAAUACUAAACGCUUAUAUUUAACUUACACUGUUGUGAAGUGAGCCUGUAAGCACACAGUGCUCAGGCCUCACACUGGGAGGGAAAUGUUUCUGUCCUCUCCCUUCUAUAGCAUUUGGCCCUAUUUCCAGGGUCAGCAGUGAGUGUUUAAAGGAGGGAGUCCAAAGUGCAUGCGGAGGACCAAAAGUCACGAGGAUGCUGACAGCUUCAACACAGAACAGGACUUCCCUUAACAAAUACACAAAUAGAUUUUCUUGCUAGCAUUACUGAGUAAAUUCCAUAGUAACGCUCAUGGAUUCACAGUGAUACAUGAAGCCUAACCAGACAGCAAAUGCGUUUUCUUUCAUUUCACACAGCAGUUCAAGAUUGAGAAACCCAGAGACAGAGCUCGCUUUCAAGUUUGAACUCUCCUGUCUUUAAACUGAUGGAAAAAAAAGAAAAAUAACAAAGCACAUAUGGUUUUGUUUGCUUGUUUGUUUUCUCUCUUUCAGUCAUAGGCUUCUGAGUUGCUCUGCAUUUAGUGUGCCUGUGUGUUGCAUUUUACUGUCUAGGCUUUGAGAUUGGCAGCCCAGCCCCAACACGGUGUUGCUGCUUUGUUUUGCACUUUCUAUCCUCUGAAAGCGUGGCUGCCCUUUCUGCCUCAGUGUGCUCCGGAUACACUGAUCUGAUAAGGAGAGGAAAGGAACAGGGGUGAAUGGACCUCCUCAGGGCCAGGAAAAGUGCUGGCAGAGGCAACUGUGGGGGCUUCUGUCACAGUAGCCAGUGCCUUUUGGGAAGCCAGUGGCGUAGAUACACUUAAGUGCAUGGUAUCUCUGCGAGGCCAGAAACAGCUUUUUAAUAGAGACAAAUCCUCAGGUCUGAAGAUCAGACCUACUUUAGAAAGUCUGGCCACCAGAACUUAAGCUAAGUGGAUAUGUUAUUCCUCCUGUCUGACUUGCUGGCAAAGUACUUGUCUGGCUUCCAUCAUUUGCUUUGGUGGAAGCUCCUCUGUCCUGCUGAUAGCAGUCUGAGGCUAAAGGUUAUUUACUAAAGCUUUUAGGUCUCCAGGGCAUAUCCACAUGAGUGAUGUGCUAUUAAAUGCAGGUAGAGAAGGCUUUUUGGCUUGUAUGGCUGUGGCUUGAGAGGAUUAGGCAAAAUUGUACUGUUUGUGACGUGCAAAAAAGUUGAUUUACAAAGAUGGCACAGAUAUCCUUCAAGUAAAAAGCAGCUACUGCUACUGUAAUGUGCUACUCAGGGUGCACUUUUUGGUUGUUACAUCUGUUCGGCCCAAGCUGACCAGGAAAUAAAACUAUUUUUUUCUGGUGCAUAAAGCUUUAGACCAAGGGGGUGUGGGGAGGUUACCGUGGGCUAACAGGUUAUUUCUUAUCUGGGGAAUAGCACUCAGUUUGUGCUACUUCUUAUGUGUUUAGAAUGUCUGUGUAGAUACAGCCCUCUGCUCCUACAGCUAGGCUGUUGCAGGAUGCCUGCAGAACCACGGAGAGCUGUGCUGUGCUGCCCUGGGGUCAAACUUCUGGAGGCACACAGGAGUUGGUGAUAACGACAAGUGCACUAAAGGUGAAGAACGCGCAGUCUCUCAGUUGUGGCAGUGGGCAGAGUAAAAUAUGGUCUUGUGGAUGUUUUGAGGAACAGUAUCUACCUGUUUUCCUGACUGUGGGAUAAAUUGAGUGUGUCAGCAGUUUGAAAGCUGUUCUUACUGGUAAAUUGAACAAAUUUGAUGUGGAUGUAACAGUACACAAAAAAACAUGGAACUCAAUAAUGUUGUCACUAGAAUCAGUUUUCAUACUGAGAUUCAUAGACCUGAGUUCAGACCUCAAAUUCACCGGUGAAAAUCUGGAGUAGCUUAGCCUGUAAUUUGCUUGAUUCUCUCCGGGCAUACUUUGAGAUAACCGAGUUCAGAUUCAGCCCGCGCAGCCCAGACUAAACUGUUCACCUGUUCGUUCACCUAUGCACUCGUUCAGCUCCUCACCCACCCACUGACACAGGUCUCCUAUAAAGCUGAAAGACAGGCACAUGUUUUAGGAAUUCUUGAAAUUCACUACUUUGAACAGCCAUGACAAAUCAGCAGCUAUAUCCAUUACCAGUCCUCUGACUUAUCUGGUAUCCUUCCUUCAUCUAGUUUCAUAUUUUUUAAUUUUUAUUGGUUUUUUUUCUAAUCAGUCUUCACUUACUUGUCAUUCAUCGUAUGAGUUCACUUCUUGGCUUUUCUUUCCAUUAUUGUCUUGGGUAUUUUAAUACAGGCCUGUCCUUAGUUUGUUUCCUUCUGUAGAUGUUUUAGCGCUUUUUUCGAUGUGUGUUUUCCCAUUUUAUCAUCUGGAAAUAUUAUUAAAGAUAUUAUAUACCUUCUCUUUAUCCAAAGUCAUGGUACAUCUGUUGACCUCAGGGCGUAUUGCCGGGGCCAUCUGGUUUUCAAGGGAAGUGGGGGUCAGGAGGGAGCAGGGAAGGAUUUAAGGCAGAGGAGAUAUUAGGUUACAUAUUUGUUAUUUGAUUAAGGUUUUAUUUUGUCAAAGGAUAAGACUGAUAGGUACUUUGUUACAGUGUUUGACUUUCUGUAGCCUCUGCUUUUUUUCUCCUUGUUUGUUUUGUUUUGAAGUUGUGCUGGGCCCAGGAAGCUGUGUGGGUGUGUGUCUGGGUGUAUCAGCAUCAGUGAAACAGUGUGGCCCCAAACUGCUUUGAAGUGUUGACCAGCGCUGCUGUUGUAGCUGUGUCUGCUAGCUCCAUGAUUACGUUACGUAGCUUAGAAGCUUGUGCCUAGACCGUGUUCACCUCUCAGCUGAAGAAAAUGUUAGUUGUCAGUGAGGAAUUAGCAGGUCAAGGUACCAACCUCAUUUGAGCCUAGAAAAAUUAGUAUCUAGAACAUGUUUGUACUCUGGAAAAACACUUCUUCCUCAGUUUUUUGAUAAAGAACCUGAUAGUCCAUGCCCACGUGCAGCCGCCCCCUUUAGAUGAUCCUCAGCAGCACAUGCACAGGAGAUAGCAUUUCAGUUCUACUCCCGUCUCCAGAUUAAAAGAAUCUGACAUGCUUCUGAGGGCUGGGGAUAGAAGAGGGUGAAAAAAGAGCGUUGUCCACUGGUCCCAGGUUUUCAAAAUGGCCAACAUGGUAGCUGCUCUGUGGUUUUGAUGCAUACUUCAACAUUAAUUAAAACCUUCAAUUGUGCAGUUUGUAUUCCUUCUUUCUUUAAUGCCAUUAAGAAACCAUUAGUUGACGAUGUAUGGUGAAAUUGAAAUUUCCUUUAAUUUUGUUGAUGUGUUUUAUAUCUUGAAAUACAUAACACAGUAAAUCUUGCUUUCAUUUCUUGAAAGCUCAGGUAAGCAAAAUCCUACAAAUGAACUGAAGAUAUGGCACACCCUUUUUUUUUUCUUUUUAAAUGGAAAAGAAAGAGAAGGUCUCUUAAAUUUAGAGGACAAAGUAUUUUGCUCCAACUGAAAACAAUAAACAGCUUGGUUAUAAGAUAACAGUUUAAAUUCACGCAUUAGAAAUGAUCUUCUCUAAGCUAACAAGUUAAGAGUUAACUUAAGUUAAAGCAGAAUUUCCAACAACAAAUUCUUGUGUCUUCACAUGUAUUGCUUCUGAGUGGUCUGUUUAAAACGCACAGUGACCAUCCUGGGUAUGCAGGGGGGUUGCGUGGGGGUAAUUCUGCUGAAAGCUUUGCUCCAAACCCUUCUCCUCCUUGUGUAAUUGCCCCUAAUUGAUACCCUGUAACACAAAAUCUCCCCCCAUUCCAGUUUCUCAUGCCCACAUGCAUAUCUUCUGAUAACCUGCAGCAAAUGAAGCGUCUAGGUUACAAUCAUGAGAAUAUGAUCAUCUUGUUGCACAGCCCCGUAAUGAGUAAUGUCCACAGCAAUUAUUAAAGACUCAAUUCAUUGACAGUCCACUCAAAGAAUUUAGUUCUCCAUCCUGUCACUGUAUUUUAGAAGGAAAUAAGCCAUCUGAGCAAUACGUUUUCCAUACAAAAAAAAAAAUGUGUAUAUGAAUUGAAAAGGGCAGAAGUAGUGAUGUGCCAAUGCUUAAUUGGUUCUGCCUGAAUCCGGACUUCACCAACAGGGGAAAAAAGCCCUAACUAGGAAAUAAAAACUAAGGAACAGCAUCAGGAAGCUUGGCUUUAUUUGUGAUUUCCAGAGAUGUUUCGUGUGUAUCACAUUCUGUCAGUUUGUUGUGUCAUUUCAGUCUUGCUCCUGGGCCUUUUCUCCAUUUUCUGUUAGAUAAGCUGUAAAUUCGAGAAUGAAGCAGAAGAGUUUUUAGAAGUGUUUCUCUGAUGUUUUCCUCGUAACCGAAUAAAAUCAUGACAAAGAUUUACUUAAAUGAAGCUCUCAGACUGUCAGCCUUCUUACAUUUUGUUUUGUUUUGUAGGGGGAGGAGGGGCAAGCUAACCCUGACUUUCCUAGCUAUUGUGGAACAGAGAAGCAAAAGUUAGCAGACUGUUGUCUUUGCCCCAGGAUUUCCGAUGUCUGUGAUCAAAAGCGUAUCUUACAAAGCCAGGCAUGGUUUCACAAAAAUUCCACUGAGGGGUCAUAGCUGCUUGAGUUAGAAAGCUUUCAAGACUACGUAGCUUUUCUUAGGGAAACAUGUUAAAACAUAAAACAUCUGUCAGAAGAGUUCUUUGUUUGGAAAGCUUCUUGAAGUGCACCUUGGAAUUUCCUUCCUUGGCAAUGGUGGUUCUGUGUGGUAAACACACACACAAAAAAACAGUGGUUAUGUCACCUGGGUUCAGCAGCUGAGGCGUAUGCGGAGGUGUUAAAGAGAGGAGGCUUUCAGAGCGUUUCAAUGUGCCGUGAAACAUCGUCUCAAUAUGCUCUGAGGUAAUGACAGGUUUUGCUUUUUUUUCCACAGCGUACAUUAAAACCAGACACAAUAAGGACGUGUACAAGCAAGGGAGCACGUUGUGUUCAGGGUAGCACGCAGUAAAAAAAGUUCAACGCAAAGACAAAAGUUCAAUCAAAAUUUUGAUUUUCAAGAUUGAAAUGCUGUAGAUUAAUUUGUUCAUCUCCUUUUGUCCCGUAGAUCAGAUCCUCGCGUUCUGUGUAUUUGGAUGUGCUGAGCUCCUGCGUACUAUUAUUUUUUUUUCCAUGUAAAAAUGCUUUCAGGAUUGUAAAUUAGAUUCCCUUCUGGCUCAGACAUCAACUACAUCAUUAGCAAAAUUCCAAGAGUUGAGCCAAACCUUAUCCUGGCUGCUUCUCUAAUGUUAAUGGAAUCACAACAGGUGUGGUGGCAAAAGAAUUUUGCAAUGAAAAUCUUGAUUUCUUUGGUUAGCCAUAACAGAGAAAGCCUGUUUGACUGUUAAGUCCAGAAUGGUUUUGCAGCAUGUGAAUCUGGAAUAACCCUGGUUAAACCGACCAGUUUUAGUGUUUUCCUCGGGUCCCUUAAUGUUAUCCAUUCUUCCCAUUCUUUUUUGAAGGUAUAUGUGAAAGAAUAAAAUGGCUUGAAGUUCUCUUAAAUUUAAAAAAUAGAGUAGUACUUUAUGGUUUUCUUACCAAAUCAACUUUUUUCAUAGAAAAUAGAUAAUCUUUUCUAAAGAUCUAAAGAAGAAAGUGAAGGACUUCAGUGAAGUAGCUCAAGGAAACAUGUAGGAAACAGUUUCCAAAUACAGUAGCCACCAUGAAAAGAAACAUGACAGUUGCAGUUUGAAAAUGUAAUAAAUAGGCAAGUAAACUAAUAUACAAGUGAGAUAAAGGAGGUUGAAGAAAGACUAUGAAGGGUCUUGAAAUGCCUCGUCCCUUGUGACACCCAGGGUCAAGCAGAACAGGUCUCUGAGCACCUGCUCUAGCCAUAGGUGUUCUUGUUCAUUGUAAGCAAGUUGGACUAGAUGAGCUUUAAGCGUCCCUCCCAACUCAAACCAUCCUAUGAUUCUACAAAAUGGUAAAAACUGCUUGAAUUUGAGGUGUGAUUUUGUGAUAAGUUAGUUAGAAGUGUUGCGCACAAACUUUUUAUCUAAUAAGAGUUGCAUGCAUAUAAUAUAUAUUAAAAAAACAAAACAAAACAAAAAAAAACCAACAUUGUUUAUAUAACCCCGAGAUGGCCAUCUGUAAAAAUACAUAGGCUAAAGAAAAUACUAUGAAGUGUAGCAUAACAAAUAAGAUGACUGUCAUGUUGACAGUAUGGACAAAACUAGUUGUGUAGCGAGAAUGGUUGCAGAGCAGAAGGGGAAAAGGUACUGAGUGUUCAGAGUGGUUUUGGAGUUCACAGCCAAGAGUCCCGGUCACGUCAGAAAAGGACAGAGAAGAGGCAGAUCUGGAGCACUGAGUAUCCAUGCACGAGUGAUAAUUAAAAUCAAUUUGGAAAGAGAUUCCCUCAUGACCAAAAGAGGAAAGAGUUGAGGACAGAGUGCUGUGGAAUCCCCAGAAGUAGAAUAAAAUACAAUUAACAGUGAUAAGGAAUGUUUAAAGCAAAGCCCUGUUCCAUAAACUUAAGAGUUUAUUUAAGAGGAAAUUGUAAAAAUGAGCAGUUUCUUUUUCAACUUAAAACACGUAUUUAUAUGCAACAUUCGUGUUUAGGUUGAUGGUAUUUAUUUUAAUUUUAUCUUUUGGCUUUAGGAUCAGGACAGGAGGAGUAGGAAAGAAUCUAAGAAUUUGAAUUUCAGGAAACUCUAGGAGCUGGAGGAAGAAAACCCAUCUUCUGACACACAUUUAGGUCUGUAAUUUAUGCUGAUUGUAAGGGAAAAACGUUUUUUUUACCUUCUAUUGAGUUAAAUAAUGCACUGAAUUGAAUUAAAACUCCAUUAUACAGGAAGGGAUAUUGAAUAAACCAGUAUAUUUACAUGAGAAGUUCCAUUAAACCCUAGAGAAUAACAGUGAGUAAAAUAAACUGUAUAAUCUUGUAUCCAAAUGAAUAAAAGGAGCAUGAAAGCAGAAUCAUUUUGAUUUUCAGGGUGAUACUGUCUUAAUUCUGUUGGUUUUUUGUGUGUUUUUUUGUUUUGUUUUGUUUUUUGAAGUGCACAUACAUGCACAUGGUUUUACAUGAGAAAGAAAAGUAGAAGAUGGUAAUACCUAGUUUCUUGGCUGUAUCCCUGUUACUUAUUAGCAUAGGGUCUUUUGAGUGGGAUCAUCUCACCUAACUUCUCAGAUUCCAGACACACCAAGUAAUGGAGAUGUCUUCCUUCAUCAUCGGAAAAAAAAAAACAACACCAGGUAGUCCCAGCCCAUGGGACACCCGUGAGGUGUAUGGGGCUCCAGAAGUGGCAAGCUUUUGACUUGCAGAGGAGCUUUGCCGGAACACAGAUGUUCACAUCAAAAAGACAUCAGUCCAGCCAUUAGCAUUGGCUGUGACAGUGACCUGAAUGAUGGGCUCCUUAGUGUUCCUUGAAUACUGAGAGAACUGAGCUUGUGUUCAUUUUAUCUGUAUCUUUAAUCAGCAGUGCCCUAUGGGCAAGGAUUAUCUUUAUCAUAAUUGGUAUUUGGUGUUAAAAUCUUUCAGAAAUGAAAGUAACCUGUAUCGAGGUACUUGCUUAGACAAGAAAACUAAAGUAAGUUUCAAGACAGAGAAAACACCGAGGUAAGAAGAUGGAUUCACUGUCAAAAGAUCCCUCAGCAAACAGCACUGGAAGGGUUUUGAGUAAGGUUGGAAUAGUCUUGGGAGGAGCUGAGUAGCUAUAGGCAUGUUUAUAACUAAUUUUUGAAAUGCUGCAAGUGUAGCUCACGUUAUAAAUAACCAUAUGUUUGUUAAAUAACUGAAGAAGGGAAAUCUGGGAAAAGUUUGUCCAGACAUUUAUAACUUUUUUUUAAAGGGCAGUUGAUUUUUUCCAUAUGAUUUCCAGGCUAAAAAAACUAUUUUCAUCUCUUGAGACCGCACGCUGUUAUUGAGAGCUGCACUAAAAGAAAGAGCAAAGUUAUCAUCCAACCCUAAAUGCAAAACAUGAGAACAUUUGGGAUUUAGGCAGACGAUUGGUUGGUUACUUAGCUUUUAUUUUACAGCAGAGUUCUAUAACAAAUCUUCCUUGAAAACUUAAUUGAGUAUUUUUUUUCCUCCCCCCAAAGUCCAAGGGGAUGGUUGUAUGUGUGAAGAGAGAAAGAAAAGCUUGCACUGUCUGCCAAACUGAAGAUGAGUGUAUGCAAUACGUUGCAUAAUAUUCAACAUAUAUUAUACAAUUCAUCCUCAUUGUAAAGAACAUAGUUUCUCUGUUUCGGAUUUUGUACUCAAUUGCAAUAUAGUUGUAUCCCAAAAAUGGUAAUAAGUUUUAUGUGAGUAUACAAUAAAAGUGUAUUUUUUAAGUUAGAGCAAGAGUAGUUCACAGUGAAAAAACUGAAAUAGAUACAGAUUACUCUGCAGACACCAUUGUAAAUGUCAAGUAGAGUUUGACAGCUGGUAAGUUGGAGACAUAAUUAAAUAUAUAUAUAUAUCCAUACAUGUACAGACUGCCUUUUAGCACACAAAAUUGGCAUGCAUCAAAAUAAGAAGGUGAGUGACAUAUGGGGAUUGAGGCAGCUGAGAUCUAGCAGAAACUGCACGCAAGCAAGUCAGCCUUUGAGACAAAGACAGCAAUAGUAGUGGUACUGCUGGCAUGUGUUUGUUGUUGCAUGGCGCAGCAAUCUACACUAAAAUUGCUUUGUAUUUAGAUAACUCUUCAAGUAUUUGUAGGAUAUUAAGCUUUGAAGAUGGAAUACUUCUGCCCUUUAUAUAUUAUUUCCAUAUAUAUUUAUUUUUGGAUUCACUUUAGUUUACAAAUACUUGGCUGUGACCCUACAAAAGGAGAGGUUAGUUUGGUAAUGUAAUUGUUUUAGGAACUGAGCUUUUCAUUUAUUUACUCAUCUUCUGCUUUUGCCUCUUGCUUGGAUUUCUCUGGAUGUUAGCAUUACUGCUGUAUUCAGCCACUUCAGUUUUUUUGGAUAUAUUUGUUAAAUCAGCGUUCUUUGAGUCAGUGGUAUUGCCCAGCAUGCUCCAUGAGUUGUCAUUAAGAUCUGAGUUUAUUAUUUUGAUUGAUCUGAUGAAAAUGUUAUCCAGACAGUAUUGUUGCUAGAGUUUUAGAGAAAGUCAUCUAUUCACCUGUGGGAAACCUCUAGCUAUGUACCUUUCCAAGGCAGUAAACACACAGCUGGAAACUGUAGCCUUUCCAGCAGGUGAAGGGCUUUUCUUCAUUUCUGCCUACCAACCUAGUGAAUGACUUGGCUUUAAGUUGAGAUACUGCUUUGAACAUUGCUAGGCAGGAAAGAUCCUUCUUUCUCCCAAUUAGAAAGUUAGUUAGAAAACCAGGAAAGAGAGGCCACAAUAUGUUGGUUUUAAAAUCUUGUAGGACAUGGGGAUCAGAAAUAUUUAGUUUGUUUCACUAGUUGUACUGAUUUCUCUUGUAUGUAUUGAAUUGGCUCAUAUUGAAGAAUUUUAAUUGAUUGUUAUGCGUGUUUUAUGUAAACUCUUAAUUGGUGAAAUGUGGUUUCUAAAUUGUUUCCUUCUUUCAAGUUUAAAAAAAAAAGUUGUUUUUUUGUUGGUUUUUUUUUUACAUUUGUCUUGAAGUUUAAUUUGGGUUUUAAAGUCAUAGAAUCAUAGAAUCACCAAGGCUGGAAAAGACCUGCAAGAUCACCCAGUCCAACCAUCCACUUAGAAUAGCUCCCUCUAAACCACGUCCCUUAACUCAACAUCUAAACUUUUCUUGAACACCUCCAGGGUUGGUGACUCCACCACCUCUCUGGGCAGCCCAUUCCAGUACCUGACCACUUUUUUGGAAAAGUAAUAUUUCCUAAUGUCCAGCCUGAACCUUCCCUGGUGCAGUUUGAGGCCAUUCCCUCUAGUCCUAUCACUAGUCACACGAGAGAAGAGGUUGACCCCCAGCUCACUACAACCUCCCUUCAGGUAGUUACGGAGAGCAAUAACGUCUCCCCUGAGCCCUCUCCAGACUAAACAAUCCCAGCUCCCUCAGACAUUCCUCAUAAUACUUGUGCUGCAGACCCCUCAGCAGCUUCAUUGCCCUUCUCUGAACACGCUGCAGGGCCUCAGUGUCUUUCCUGUAGUGAGGGCCCCAAAACUGAACACAGUACUUGAGGUGCGGCCUCACCAGUGCUGAGUACAGAGGGACAAUUACUUCCCCGCUCCUGCUAGCAACACAAUUUCUGAUACAAAUGAGUAUACGUAAGAGAGUUUUUCUUCACUUCAGAGUCAAAUAGUGUGGGAAAACAGUGAAUGUGGGGUUUAACACACAUUUAGAUAUGUAUGUGGCAGUUUUAUGGUAAGCAAACAAAAGUAUCAAGUUGGUUUAAAGAUUGCAUUUCAUGAUAUAUAACUCAGUGUGGACUGAAAAAAUCUGGAAAAAAAAAAAAAGUAACUAAAAUAUGGUGUUUUAAAUGGCUUUACAACACCAGGAUCUUUCUGGCUGUAUGGUGUAGGUCAAAGUGAAGUGGGAGAGCUGUGGGAGAUAAUGGCAAUGCACCAUUUGCACCCCUUCCAGAAUGAGGUUAGGCAGUGUCUGCCUACAGGGCACGGCAGAGAGGUAAGGCCACAGUAGUUCUGGCCACAGCAGCCUCGUCCUCCUUGCUUUCACAUGCAGAGGUGCAACGUUCCUCAUGCUGGUCCUGCAGCACGCCAUCUGCUUAAGAGCCAGGAGCUGGCCAGCUGUAGUUGAGAGGGACUGAAGAAUCCAGAAAAGCCCAGGUUUAUCUGAAGUUGUCUUAUUGAUCCUCCUGCAAUCUGUAAGCAUGAACAUAGACUAUAUGCUAUAUGACAUGUUUUCUGGAUCCUUUUGAGGGAGAACUUGAAGUAAGUUUUUCACAUAGCUUGCAGUAACUCUUCUUGAGACAAAAAUAAUGAAGUCUGUUAUAAAUCAGAUACUGAACGUACAUAUUCUGUUCCCAUUACUUAAAGGACCAGGGAGAAAAUGUUUCCUUGCAAAGCUGAAUUUCAGUUGAAUGCUUUGAAGUAUAGUAUCAAGAGUUAUCAAUUAAUAGUUGUUUUCCAUUCUGAAAUUCUGUUCUUUGUGUUCAGUUGUCAGUGUUACAGUGUAUGUAGGUUAAAGUUCAAUUACUGUGUUUUAUAAAUUCCGUAUCUUUAAGUGUGAAAUAAAAGCAGCUGCCCAGAACAGAAGAGUGUAAAGAGUGCCCAGUCUUCACCUCCAUGUUGAUGCUUUCCUGGUGUUGUUAUCACUGUUCAUUUAUGUAUUUAUUUAGUUAUCUGACAUUGCUACUGUUUGACUUGCAUGCUCAUUUCUUGGCCUGGUUUUAAGUAUUUCUAUAUUUGGUACAGAAGAGCUUCAUCAGAAGGGAAGAGAUGUUGAAGAGGCUUGGCAACUAAGUCUCCUUUCCUCUUUGUAGAUCUGAGUGUAAGCACAGUCGCAGGGUAGCGUGGGGAAAAUUUAUACUCCUUCAUGAGGAUCUUGGUUGGGAUUCUCAGCCCGGAAUUGCUCUUAAUAAAACCCUACUGAUUCACUGCAGGACAAGAAAACAGCAACAAAAAACAUGUUGAGAGAUUCUGGAAUUUUUUUUCAGAUUUUUGGAAUUGCAUAUUUUCCUAGAUAAUCUGUAUCGAGUGGUGUUGAGGUUGCAUUUAUUAAAUAUUGUAUGUUAUCUUCCCUUGUAAUCACAUGCAGAGAUUCAGAAGUGGUUUAAUGCAGUCAAAUUUUCCCUGUAAGCCGAAUACUUAAAAUAUUUCCUCCACUGAGAAUUCUCUGUGAUUCUGAAAACUGUGAAGAUGGGAAUUUAGAAAGAAUGGAAUGAGAACUGUUGAUUGCCAUUAUAGUGUACAAAUCUCUGAGGUUAAUUUGAAUUCCACUGCGCAUCAUUGUGUACUGUGUGUUCUCAAGUGUGUGUGCACAUUUGGUAGGACAUGUAAAACAGAAAAAAAAUAAGGCUUCUGUUCUAAAGAGUCUUUUCCCUCUUGUCUCAUCUGUCCUGCUAUCUGCAACAGUUGUCUAAGCCUAAUUCUCUUUUAUGUGAUAUUAACAGCCAUACUGAGUCUAGUACUGUCAGAAGUACUAAAGGGUAUUUAAUUAUUCAACUAGAAUAAACUAGAAGGUGGUGCAACAGCAGCAGCUGUAACAUAAGACACUGGUACUUCAUCUCCAAAAUAUAGGAAUUGCUCAGUAAUAAUUCAGUAUUUCUGUCCCCCUGGUGAGAAGGAAAGUUGUAAAAUUCUGAACACUAAAUAUUUGGAGAAUGUGAGCAAUGAGCUUGUCUUCAGGAUCUCCGUAUACUCUGUGUAUGUUCUUAGGCAUGACUGCAGUUGAUUACUGUUGCAUGAGAAGAAUGGCAAGUUACCAGAUAUACACUGUUCCUACAGUGAGGUUUUCAGUCGAGGAGAAUUGUGUAAUAGCAUUUCUGUGGUUUACUUCCAAAUAGGUCUAUCACUUCUGCAGGUUGUAUUCUCCACGUGGAUGUGAAAAUUUAAUGCUUGUUGAAUCGAUUAUUGUAAAAAUCUCCAAUUCUCUUGCAUAUUUUUCACGUGCAAAUUAAUUGUGUUUGUAUGGCUUUGAAUUUGGGCUGUAUUGCAGGUUCGAAAGAAUGAAUUGAAUGCUAGAAUACUUUUUAAAACUUCAGACAUUACAUACAGAAAUGAAGGACAGGAUUAUACUCAACAAAUACUGUUAAGAUAGUUCAAACCGGACUCAGGUGUUUUGUCUCACGAGAUUAACCUGUUACCUGCAGUAACUCUGCAGAAGAAAUUCUUUCUAUGGUUGUAAAUUGCAAACAGUGUGCAUUAAUGUUCCACUAAAAGAUGUCUUGGUGUUUCUUGAUUUUGGAACCAUCAGCUGGUCCCAGGGCUGUAGGCUACUGGCGGCUGGGAGAGUACCACUCUGACUGCUUUGUUCUUACAUUCUUCAUUAGAAGUCUAUUUUUGCCAUUGUUAAAGAAGAUACUGGCUGAAGUGGAUCGCAGGUGUUUGACUUGAUGUUGUUAGUCUGCUUUUUAUGGUCUUCUAAUUUUACAUCUGAGUUUUUAAGAAAAUGAAAUUGUACUAUGGAGAACUGUGCUUUAUGGAUAGUAUUUACAUUAAAAGUUUAAGAUUCUGGAAAAGAGUGGUGCUGUUGACACGGCAGAAGGAAGGAACACCAUCCAGAGGGAUCUGGAGAGGCUCAAAAAGCGGGCACACGAGAACCUAAUGAGGUUUAACAACACCAAGCAUGAGGUGUUACACUUGGGUCAAGGCAGUUGCCAAUAGGAGUCCCAGGUAAGACUAAGAGAACUCGCUAAGAGCAGCCCUGCAGAGAAGGUCUUGUGUGUUUUGAUGGAUGAAAAGCUGUCCAUGAGCCAGCCAUGUGCAUUUGCAGCCUGGAAGGCUGACAGUAUCCUGGGCUGUAUCAAAAGAGGGGUGGCCAGCAGGGAGAGGGAGGGAAUUAUCCCUCUGUACUCUGCCCUUGUGAGGCUCCACCUGCAGCAUUAUGUCCAAGCUUGGGGCCCCCAGUACAGGAAGGGUGUGGGGUUGUUAGACCGGGUCCAGAGCAGGAUCACAAAAAUGACAGAGGGCUGGGGCACCUCUCUUCUGAAGAAAGGUUGUGAGAUUCCUCAUUGGAGCCUUCUAGUACUUGAGGAGAGCUUAUAGGCAGAAAGGGGACUGACUUCUUACGUGGUCUGAUAGUGAUUGGACAAUGGAGAAUAUCUUGAAACUAAAAGAGGGGAGAUUUAGGUUAGAUGUUAAGAAGAAAUUUUUCACUAUGAGGGUAGUGAGGCACUGGAACGGGCUACCCAGAGAAGCUGUGGUGCCCCAGCC